GAGGAAAGUUGAAAAGAACUUUGAAGAGAGAGUUCAAAAGGGCGUGAAACCGCUUAGAAUAAAACGGACGGAGCCGUCUGUAGCCCGUCGGAAUCAGUCGAAUCGACGCGUGAAAGCGAGUACGACACGAAAACGGAACGAAAGUCCGGUCGUCUCGUAGUAAGAAAAAGUAGCGCUCGUUCGAUGCAUUUCCGAAGGGUAAGCGCCGCGACCGAUGUCGAAGGCUAGCGAAACUGAGGGAUUGAGGUAGAGCUCGUUCGCGAGUCUCGUUACCAGUCCCUCGGUACGAAUAAAAUUCGCUAGACCCUAGCAUCGAGAAAAGGAUAACGAACGUCGGUGAACUAUACGCUCGCCAGUUACGACGGAAGUACGGCCGUUCGAUCGUCGCCUGCUCGCAGGUUGCGGUUAGUAAUCAGGUUCGUAUCCGAAGUCGUUGGUGACGUUUCGACGUUCGGGCGUCCGCGGUGUCCGAGUCGGUCACCCGUCCGACCCGUCUUGAAACACGGACCAAGGAGUCUAACGUAAGCGCGAGCUAAUGGGCGGAAAACCCAUAAGCGAAAUAAAAGUAAAAGCCGUUUCGGACGGCCGAGGUACGAUCCCUAAGAACGAAAGUAUCUACGGGCGCAGUACCGUCCCGUCCCGACCGCUCGUCGGUAGGGCGGAGAUAGAGUGCAUACGUUGGGACCCGAAAGAUGGUGAACUAUGCCUGAGCAGAGCGAAGCCAGAGGAAACUCUGGUGGAGGUUCGUAGCGGUUCUGACGUGCAAAUCGAUCGUCAGACUUGGGUAUA
rnacentral:rRNA from 1 species